UGCACAAUGGGCGCAAGCCUGAUGCAGCUAUGUCGCGUGUAUGAAGAAGACCUUAGGGUUGUAAAGUACUUUCAAUAGCAUAAGAAGGUAAUGAAACUAAUAAUUUUGUUAUCAGACGUUAGCUAUAAAAGAAGCACCGGCUAACUCCGUGCCAGCAGCCGCGGUAAUACGGAGGGUGCUAGCGUUAAUCGGAAUUACUGGGCGUAAAGAGCACUUAGGUGGUUUAUUAAGUCAAGUGUGAAAUCCCUAGACUUAAUCUAGGAACUGCAUUUGAAACUAAUAGACUAGAGUUUCGUAGAGGGAGGUAGAAUUCUAGGUGUAGCGGUGAAAUGCAUAGAUAUCUAGAGGAAUAUCAGUGGCGAAGGCGACCUCCUGGACGAUAACUGACGCUAAAAUGCGAAAGCAUGGGUAGCAAACAGGAUUAGAUACCCUGGUAGUCCAUGCUGUAAACGAUGUCGACUAAGAAGUUGAAAGCUUUGACUUAUAAUUUCUGUAGCUAACGCGUUAAGUCGACCGCCUGGGGAGUACGGCCGCAAGGCUAAAACUCAAAUGAAUUGACGGGGGCCUGCACAAGCGGUGGAGCAUGUGGUUUAAUUCGAUGCAACGCGUAAAACCUUACCUGGUCUUGACAUCCACAGAAUUUUAUAGAAAUAUAAAAGUGCAAUUUGAACUGUGAGACAGGUGCUGCAUGGCUGUCGUCAGCUCGUGUUGUGAAAUGUUGGGUUAAGUCCCGCAACGAGCGCAACCCUUGUUUUUUGUUACCAUCAGAUAAAGCUGGGGACUCAAAAGAAACUGCCAGUUAUAAACUGGAGGAAGGUGGGGACGACGUCAAGUCAUCAUGGCCCUUACGACCAGGGCUACACACGUGCUACAAUGGCGUAUACAAAGAGAUGCAAUAUUGUAAAAUAAAGCUAAUCUAUAAAAUACGUCUUAGUUCGGACUGGAGUCUGCAACUCGACUCCACGAAGUCGGAAUCGCUAGUAAUCGUGGAUCAGCAUGCCACGGUGAAUAUGUUUCCAGGCCUUGUACACACCGCCCGUCACACCAUGGAAGUGGGUUGCAAAAGAAGUAGAUUAAUUUAACCUUCUUAACAAGAAAAUAGUUUACCACUUUGUGAUUCAUGA
rnacentral:rRNA from 1 species